rnacentral:rRNA from 1 species
UACGUAGGGUGCGAGCGUUGCCCGGAUUUACUGGGCGUAAAGAGCGCGCAGGCGGUCGUACAAGUCGCGUGUGAAAGCCCCCGGCUCAACUGGGGAGGGUCACGCGAUACUGUUCGACUCGAAGGCAGGAGAGGGAAGCAGAAUUCCCGGUGUAGUGGUGAAAUGCGUAGAUAUCGGGAGGAAUACCAGUGGCGAAGGCGGCUUCCUGGCCUGUUCUUGACGCUGAGGCGCGAAAGCUAGGGUAGCAAACGGG